UGGGGCACAACAAAAGAAAAUGUGUUGCCCCGGUAAAGCAACCAGGUUGCAUAAAAGUUCUCAAGAAACCUAUAACAACACCCAGGAAGAAAAAGAAGCAACAGAAUUGUGUCUCAACAACACUAGUGAAGCCUUCAACACAACAAACCCAAUGCUCAAUUGCUCCACACAACAAAGGUGUUGGAGUGUACACUUAUCCAAGUGGUUUUCAGAGGCAAGCAGAGUUCAUCAAUACCGUUGGGAGUCAAUCAACCAAAGCAUCAAACUCAACACAAUUGGAUCAAAUGGGUUAAUUAUACAAGAGACCAACACAAUUGUUCUACCUUGACUAAGACAAGGAUGGAAGAUAGAAGAUGGAAGAAGAUAAUUUGAAAUAAGAAGAGCUUGAGUAGAAGAACUUUUUGUUGAAAGAGAGAUGUUAUAAACUCGAGUUAAGCAUAUAUUAAGGGACUAAAGUUUGUAUUUUUUCACCUUUAAGGGACUAUUCUUUUUUUCUUCACCUUUUAGGACCUGAGCUAAACUUUCUGAGUAAAAUAUAACUAGGGUUAAUAUGUGGGGCCCAUGUAACUAUUUUCCUGCUCCCAAAUACCAAAAUGACGACGCUUUAAUUUUUUUUUCCUUCUCCUUGAUUUCAUUCCCGCGUUCCAAUCUACCUAUUUCCUAUUCCUCUGUUAUACUCUAAACUUUCAAGCGACAUUGUCAGAGCAAGCUAACUGUCAAAGCUUAAAAGCUUCAUCAAUGCUUCGAUUUUUUUUUGCAUCUAAUUAAGGUAUGGUUUUGUUUCAUCCUUAAGUUGUUAUUUUUUCAUGAAAUUCAAUUGAUUUCUUCUAUGGGUACAAUCAUCUUACCCACCAAUUGAAGAACCUUCAUUGAAGAAAAUCCACAUAGACCCACUGUAAAGAGAAAGCCAUCUCUAGGGGAGGUUGAUGGUUGUAAGCUGUCAAGGAAAGGUCAAAUAAACAAAUGCAGCAAUUGUGGGGAGGUGGGGCACAACAAAAGAAAAUGUGUUGCCCCGGUAAAGCAACCAGGUUGCAUAAAAGUUCUCAAGAAACCUAUAACAACACCUAGGAAGAAAAAGAAGCAACAGAAUUGUGUCUCAACAACACUAGUGAAGCCUUCAACACAACAAACCCAAUGCUCAAUUGCUCCACACAACAAAGGUGUUGGAGUGUACACUUAUCCAAGUGGUUUUCAGAGGCAAGCAGAGUUCAUCAAUACCGUUGGGAGUCAAUCAACCAAAGCAUCA